CGGGUCUAAGACAAGCACAAACACCGUUCCCACUCACAGUGAAGGAGCAAGGAGGUGGCAUGAUGUCGUCAGACAGGGAUAAAAGGGCUGUGUUUGGUAAAGGAAUCGCGUUCGACCCCUGCCAGCUUCGAGACCCUUGGGAGAACAGAGCCCAGAAGAUCAGUGAGAAGGGACAGCAGGAGAAGGAGGGGCAGGAAAAUAGAGACCUGAAUCGGCUUAUUAAAGAGCGGCACAUUCGACUGAUGGCAUUGGAGAAGAAAGGAAAGGGCAGAAAUAUGGUGUAUUGUCCUCUACUGAAACGGUUUAAGCUUGAUCCUCCACUAGACGCAGCCCCGCCCCCACCUCCACCCCCACCCACUCCCAAGAAAUCACCACGACGGGUGAAGAUAGAGAUCCCCAAGCCAGUGGAGAAGAAGCCCACCCCACCUAAACCAUCACCUCCUCCUCUGCCCAAAGUCAUUCUCUCAUACAAAGACUUACAAAGACGAUCUGAGGGAAAAUGGUGGAGGGGGAUUAGGGAUAGAGAACUACCGAAUGGUCCAAGUGAAUGGUCAAAGCCCUUUAAGUGUCGACCACUGCAGUUCAGUAGAAUCCUUUACGACCAAACAAUGUCCUGGCAGCGGGGAUGGCCAACGUUCAGCCGGGAAAAAAGCAACAAACUACUGAAAGUUAAACCUUUGGAUGACAAAGUUGACCUUAAAGAGUGGAAGGAUUCUUGGAAGAUGUCCAGGCCUUUACCCAAGCAGCACACAGAAAACAGGGGCAUUACAGAAAAAGUAAAGGCUUUCAGAGAGUGGCAGAAUCGCUUGGCAAUCAGCAGAAAUAGAACAUCUACGGCAGUGGAGAAGAAAGGAAAGAGCAGGGACAUGUCUAACUUCAGGUCUAAAGUGGCACCUCCAUCAACUAUACAGAAAUCUGAGCCACCAACUCAUAAGAAAAAACAUGAACCACUCCUUCAGCUGAGGAAGGAGAGCUCUGAGGAAAAUAAGCCCUCCGCACCCAAGAGCGCAAAGCCCCCAGCCCCACAACCCAAGGAGAAGAAGCUGCUUGCCAUAAAACCGUCACCUCCUCAGGAUGACACAGUAAAUCUUCCAUGGUGGAAGAAAGUUUGUAGGACGUCCAAGCCUUCACUCAAGCAGCACACAGAGAAUCAGAUGAUUGCAGAAACUGUUAAGACAGGGACGGGCGAUGACAUGUCUGACUCCAGAAAAAUUGUGAUGAGCCUUGAUAAUGAUGCUGACAUUGAAGCAGCACAUUUGGAGACCAGGUUUGGAGACCAGGUUUGGAGGCCAAGUUUGGAGGCCAGGUUUGGAGUCCAUGCUAAGGUGGUACCUCCACCCACACCACCCACAAAGACACAUGAACCACCCAAGAAAUCGCAAUUUGAUGCCCCCCAAAAAACUCAGGCUUCAUCGGACAUACUUGAUGUCAAUAAAUGGUCAGAAGCCUGGAGGACUCAACCACUGUUGUUGAACAUUAAAGAACAAGUAUCUCUGGAGGCUUGGGAGCAGGAAUGGUCAGAGUUCACAGAGGAACAAAGUGAUAAACGACUGAAUACUAAGCCUUUGGAUGACAAUGUAAAUCUUACAGAAUGGGGGGAUGCUUGGAAGACGCCCAAACCUUUAGCCAAGCAGCACACUGCAGACUUGACGGUUACAGAGACAGUAAAGCCCAAAGCCUUGACAGGUUGGAGAGAGGCAAGGAGGCUCUCUGGUGACAAUGUUCAAAAUAAUCCUCCAAGUCUGAAGGAUUGGCGUGACUCGUGGAGUUUCUGCCAAGAACAUCGCUGGUGGAAGGUUUCUAUGGACUCCCAGAUGUCAAAACAACUUUUUUCCCAUCUAAGGAAAAGGGGCGGAGGGCUUUUUUUGUUUUGUUUUUUGUUUUUGUUUCUUUGUUUUCUUGGACACAAUACGGACUGGGGACAAUAGGACUUAAUUACCAUGACAGCCAUGAAGCAAGCAAACAUUGCAAACAAAUAAACAACACAACACAUUUAGGUUAAGACAUGAAAACGAUGACAACCAUGCAUUAUAACCUAAUUAACUUAAAGUAACUUUUUAAAGACCAAACUCAAAGAAAACUGUUAACAGUAUGUGAUGGGACAUGCGAGGAAAGGAAAGGAGAGGAAAGUAAAGGGAAGGAAAAUAAGGCUGGUAAAAAGCAAGAUGUUAUGGCAAGGAUUUUGUAAAGUGUAUGUAUGCAGAUGGGAUUAGGCUGGGGGAGAUUGUGGGCUGAGGGCCCUUGGGUAAUGUUUUUGUCAGCAAAUAAACUUUAGAAAAGAUGGUGGAUAAAUGAAGAAGUCUUAUUCAGGCCGUUUACCAUUGAAGAAAAUGGUCACAGUUCCGGUCUAAUUAUUAAGGAGUGGCUCUCGGGUCUGGUAAAAUUAGUCAAUUGACUGUACUGUACAUGAACCAGAAAAAAUGAAGGAGUGAGAUGUUUCGCUUCCUCCUCUGUCUCUGACUGUAGGCAGUUCCUACUCCCAUCAUGACCCAAACUGACAGAGCUGCACUAGUUGACUUCAAGAAACCUGAAGAAGCUUCCUUUUCAGAUAUGUAGUGUUUGAUAUUAGCAAAUGUGGGACACCUUUUCAUUUUAAGUGGGCAAGGAUGUGACAGGGUGUAGCUGAUAUUGUUGAGUUAAUUAACAUAGUCAUGUUACAUGCCUCCUAUUGGUCUGUUCGAACUGAUUCUUUGUGUUUUGUCUUAAUUGAUUGCAGGUGUGACUGCGGAGCAUGCGUCUCCUCCUGUUAUCUUAAAAUGGCUGCAUUUCCUGCCAACCAGGAAGAGGAAAAAAGAGCCGCUGCUACCUCCAAGUCCCCAGACUAGCUCUAGCCUAUGGACUGAACUCCCAAUCACAGUUGAAAAUAAUUAUAUCUAGGCUCUGUGUUUAUUGUGAAAUUCUGAGUACAUCUUGUCGGAUCAGUGUCUGUGAGGACUUGGAGACAGUCAGCAAAGGAGGUGGCAUGAUGUUGUCAGACAGGGAUAAAGGGACAGUGUACGACAACUUCCACCUCAGGAACCAAUGGGAGAACAGAGCUAAGCAGUUCAGUCAGAAGGGACAACUGGAAAAGGAGAGACAAGGAAAGAGUGCCUUGAAUGGGCUUUACAAAAAGUGGCAGUCUCGCCUGGCGAACACAAAUGGAACUCCUACGGCAGCGGAGAAGAAAGGAAAGGGCAGUAACAUAUCUGACUUCAGAAAGGUUGCGGUGAUCCCAGACAUUGAUGCUGACAUCGAAAGAGCCAUAUUUAAGGUGGUACCACCACCAAAGAUUCCCAAACCUGCUCCAUCCCCACCACCCAAAAAGAAACCACUCAAGAGGGCAAAGCCCCAAGUUCUCAAACCAGCCGGAGGCUGGGAUGACUCAUGGAAGAGCCUGAAGCCCCCAGAGCAGGAAGUCCAACCUGAGGAAAAAUGGUGGAGGGAUUUGAAGCCAGAUAGAUACCUACCUCUCAGCGAAUGGGCAAGGCCCUUCAAGUGUCGACCACUGUUAUUCAGUUUCAUCCUUCACCAGCAAACAGAGUGGUGGCAGCGAGGAUGGCCAGUGUUCAGCUGGGAACAAAGCAACAAACUAUUGAAAGCUAAGCCUUUGGAUGUCGGAGUAAACCUUCUAGGGUGGGAGGACGCUUGGAAGACAUCCACAUCUUUAUCCAAGCAACACAUUGAGAACCAGAUGAUUACAGAAACAGUACAGCUCAAAGCCUUCUUCCCAGGCUGGACAGAAUCUUGGAAGGUCGCAGGUGAAAAUGUCCAAAACAGUGGCCGAUAUCUGAGGGAUUGGCACGAGUCCUGGAGUUUGUGCCAAGAAUACCACUGGUACAAGGCCCCCAUAGACUCCCAGUUGAUGUCAAAACAUGUGUUGUCCGAUGAGUUGUUGAUCUCUCAGCUUGAUGAGGAUAUCCCAUCGUCAUCAGAUUGGAUAGAGUCCUGGAAAUCUGUGAAAUCUCAGCCCCAGUACCAAGAGUCCCAGUCAGAGCCCAAAGGGACUGAAUUAAAGGUAGAAAUGUCCCAUGUGCCACUGCAUUUCCAGUUCCACAAGCUUAACACACCUUUCUCAAACUGGCACGAGUCUUGGAAAGUGUCAACUGCAAAUAAUGAAGCAAUUGAAGAUGGAUGGAAAGGUUCCUGGAAGAUAUGUAGUCAGCAUCAAAAUGACACAAAUGCCCAAAGAGAUGUUGUGUUUUUCUCAAAUAAGUACAAGACCCAAAUGUUCUGGGGUGUUGACAGCAUGCCUCAGAGUGAAUGGUCUAAAUCCUGGAAGACCCCCAUGCCUCCCCAACAUACUUUCUUGCCAGGUUGGAAAGAAUCUUGGAAACAAAACAGCAAUCCAUAUUGGAAGGAUUGGCAUGAGUCCUGGAGUUUGUGCCAAGAACACCACUGUUGCAAGUCCUUUAUGGACUUCCAGUAUUGCCAUCAUGCUAUGAUGAUGUCAAAAUGCUUGCUGACCAAUGAGCUGUUGAGCUCCCAGCUUGAUGAGGAAAUCCCUUCUUCAUACGAGUGGAUUGUGUCCUGGAAAUCUGUGAAACCUUAUCCUCAGUCCCAGUCAGAUUCAGAAGAAACUGAAUCAGAGUUGGAAAUGUCCCAUGUCCCACUGCAUCUUCAGUUCUACAAGCUUAACACACCUUUCUCAAACUGGCAUGAGUCUUGGAAAGUGUCAACUGCACAAGCUGUAGCAGGUAACGAUGAACAACAUCCUUCAACAGAAUGGGCGGAUUCCUGGAAGAUAUCUUGGACGAACCUAAAUAGAAAUGACUUAAAACCCCAAAGGGAUGUUGUAUUUUUCUCAAGGCAUAAGACUGAAUGUGUUUUGAGUGUUGACUGUAUGGUCCAGAAUGAAUGGUCUGAAUGCUGGAAGACCAUCAAGCCUACCCAAUACACUACGACACAGGAGGAGGAGGAGGAGGAGGAAAAAGAUGGCCAUUCUGACUCCUCUAAACAUUUGUCACAUCUAAUAGAGAUUCCUUUGAAUGAUUGGGCAGACUCAUGGAGGUUCAAGCCAGAGGAUGAGAGCCCCACCUCACGCAAGACGGCACAGCCCCUAGCCCCAAAACCAGAGGAGGAGAUGCUGAAAGCCAGUACACCAUCACAUCCUCAGCCUUACAAAUACAAUCUUAACCAGGCAAUCUGGGGUGAUUCCUGGAAAAUCCUGAAGCCCCCACAGAAGUCAGUCCCAUCUGGAAAAAAAUGGUGGAGGGCGUUUAAGCAGGACAGAAACCUACCUUUCAAUGAAUGGGCAAAGCCCUUCAAGUGUCGACCACUGCUAUUCAGUCGCUUACUGCACACACAAACAACAUCCUGGCAGCAGGGAUGGCCAGCGCACAGCUGGGAACAAAGCAACAAACUACUGAAUGCUAAGCGUUUGGAUAACAAAGUAAACCUUACGGAGUGGGAGGAUGCAUGGAAGACACUCAAGCCUUUACACAAGCAGCAUACUGAGAACAAGAUGAUUACAGAAAGAGUACAGCCCAAUGGCUUCUUGCCAGGUUGGACAGAAUCUUGGAAGGUCGCAGGUAACAAUGUUCAAAACAACAAUCCAUAUCUGAAGGAUUGGCAGGAGUCCUGGAGUUCUUGUCAUGAACAUCACUCCUACAAGGCCUCUAUAGACUCCCAGAAUCGGCAGUAUCUCCCUGUAUCACUAAAACACAAGCUGUUCAAGGAUCUGUUGAUCUCCCAGCUUGAUGAAAACAUUACGGCCUCACCAGAAGGGGUAGAGUCCUGGAAAUCUUUGAAAAAUCAACCUCCGUCCCAGGCAGAGCCCGAAGAAAUUGAAUCAGAGAUAGAUAUGCCUGAUGUGCCACUGCAUCUCCAGUUCCACAAGAUUAACACACCUUUCUCAGACUGGCACCAGUCUUGGAAAGUGUCAACUGCAGAAAGUGAAGGUGAAAAACAACAGAGAGAAUGGAAUGGUUCCUGGAAGAUAUAUUGUCCGUAUCUGUCAAAAAACAACACAAAAGCCCAAAAUGAUUUUGUGUUUUUGUCCAAUAAGCAUAAGACUUACAAGUGCCUGGGUGUUGAUCAUGCUGAAAACAGCAUGCCUCAGAAUGAAUGGUCUGAAUCUUGGAAGACAAAGCAGCACCAGCAGCAGUUGGAGGACUGGGCAGAGUCUUGGAGGUUAUCUGUCGCCCCAGAAUCCAACAACUCAGUAUCACUGGACCGGUGGAAACGAUCAUGGAGACUCUCAAAACCAAAUCACCCACAUCAGCUUAACCAGGGCACAGAGCCUCUCAUACACAACAGCCCCAAACACCACAUGCAACUCCACGAGGUUGAACUGCCCCAGGCAGAAUGGAGCAACUCCUGGCAGUACCUCAAGUCAGACACUCUGGAUCCUAACACGAAGAAGGAACAGACAUACAGUAGAACAUUAUAACAUGUACGUCAAAUGAUCAGAUAUGUAUUUGAUCCUAUACUAUUUUUACUUCAUGUCAAUAUACAUACUUGUUAAAUGUCUUAUUACUGGACACAUUGGAGUGAGACUAGCAGAAUUAUCUGCUGCAAGGAGGAGGUUGGGGUGGAUGAAGUGUAUAACACGUAGUUUGCUCUUGGAAACUUUAAAUCUAACCUAAACUAAUUACUUCUAUUCUAUUGACUGAAAUGUUGUUGUUUUCUACCUGCUGUUGUUGCUACUUCUAUUGUUGCUGGUUGUCUUUGUGACUAAAUUAAUGCUUGAUUGACAAACACUUUAUCCAUCUGGGAUUAAUAAAUAUAAUUUAAUUAUCAUAUUAAUUGCUAAAGUAACAUCAAUGUUGAAGGUUUCUCUCAAAUUGCCAGACCGUUCACCAGGACUGAACGGGGAUCUUUGAACGAUGUGCGCUGAGAGUUGGGAAGAAAGUUCAGGGAGUGAGUGUUUAAAUAAAUAAACACAACAUAACAAGAAACAUGCACAGACAUGACACUGGAACAGAAACAAUGACACCUGGGAAAGGAACCAAAGGGAGUGACGCAUGUAGGGCAGGUAAUCAAGGAGGUGAUGGAGUCCAGGUGAGUCCGGCGCGAUAACGAGCAGCCUGGUGACCUAGAGGGCGGAUAGGGAGCACACAUGACAGAUCUGAAUUCAGGACAGGCAUUUCUAACACAAAAAAUGAAAUAAUCAACAUUCUGUCCAAAUGCAACCAUUUAGACAGAACCAC
ensembl:lncRNA